rnacentral:rRNA from 1 species
GCUGGCGGCAGGCCUAACACAUGCAAGUCGAACGGUAGCACAGAGAGCUUGCUCUCGGGUGACGAGUGGCGGACGGGUGAGUAAUGUCUGGGAAACUGCCUGAUGGAGGGGGAUAACUACUGGAAACGGUAGCUAAUACCGCAUAACGUCGCAAGACCAAAGAGGGGGACCUUCGGGCCUCUUGCCAUCAGAUGUGCCCAGAUGGGAUUAGCUAGUAGGUGGGGUAACGGCUCACCUAGGCGACGAUCCCUAGCUGGUCUGAGAGGAUGACCAGCCACACUGGAACUGAGACACGGUCCAGACUCCUACGGGAGGCAGCAGUGGGGAAUAUUGCACAAUGGGCGCAAGCCUGAUGCAGCCAUGCCGCGUGUAUGAAGAAGGCCUUCGGGUUGUAAAGUACUUUCAGCGGGGAGGAAGGCGAUAAGGUUAAUAACCUUGUCAAUUGACGUUACCCGCAGAAGAAGCACCGGCUAACUCCGUGCCAGCCGCCGCGGUAAUU